CUGCGUGCCUGGAGCCUUGCUAGCAAUCCGGCAUUUCAUCUCCAAGGAAGUUAUCCCAGAGAGAAGUAAAGCAAGUGUCUCCACGGUGGCUGCAACGCAAUUUCUUCCAAUUGACCUCCCUGCCACCGGCACAAUCACUCUCCACCGGAGACACAACGGCCCCAGAAUACGGAGCAGCCAGGAGCACUAGCUUGACGCUGGAGGAGUCAGCACUGAAAGGAGAGACAAACUCUGCUGCGGAAGCGGUAACCACCGCUGGGAAAUGAGCUGCAGGAAGAAAAGCGUGGAAGAGCAAAGAGUGAUAGAAUUGGGCAGAGAUUUAAUUCACCUCUGAGGAGAUGGCAGCUUAAUGUACAUAAAAGCACUAUAUGGAGAAGAAUGAGGGAGGAAAAGCAGCUGUUACAAGGGGGGAUCAUUGUGGCGGUUUCAAAGCUAAGCAGCAGAGACAUAAUAUAAGAUAAUUCAAUAUAUUGCUAACCUAACAUAAAUGUACAGCCCCUAAGCAAAAGAUGGCACACUCUGCCUUAUUGUUUGCUGUUGCUGCAGGGGUCAUAGCAGCAGAUUUCAUGUGACAGAAAGAAAUAAGGAGAUGAAAGUAAGGCAAUUCGAUCUGUGCUUUGUUAGAGCGAUUAUUUAGAAACUCAAAACAAAAGGCUUUGCUGAACACCAUCUGUUGUAUAAUCUUCAACCCCGAGGCCAAGCGCUUUUCAAUCAAAAAGUGCAACAUAAAGGUGGCAUUUAUGUCAUGUGUCGCCAGAUAUAACUUCACUCUUAUGGCUUAAUUAACC